ACAUCAGCUGAUGUGGCAAAGUUUGAAAAUCUAAUGACAUCAUGUGGGACCCAGCCAUUAAAUUAGCAUUGAGAUGGAAGAAUUACCUGCUCAGAAUUAGAAACCUUCAACAUAUAAGGGAGCACUGAACGUACACAGCAACAUAUUAAGAUGAAUGGCAUGGAUGUACAAGUCAUCACCAUUAUAGACAAUGGAAAUUUUGCUGCCUUGGAACUCAACUCACCGGUUAUGAUAGACCACAGCAGUGUAUGCCUCUUUUGAGUAUUCUGCACAGCUGGAUUUACCAAAGAUCACCUGGAAAAUUAUGGAAUAAAAGGCAGCAUGGCAUUGCUGGGGUCCUCUCCAUUCAUAAACUGCACUUUCACCGUGAUGUUGCGGGCAGAGCCUUGUCGAUUGGCGAAAUUCAGGCUCUGUGGGUACACAUACAGCAGGUUCCUAACAGGCACAAGGGGAGAGAGAGGAGCAGACUUUCAAACACUGUGUCACAUAAUGCAACUUAAAACUGGAAGGCAAGUUUUGUGUUGACCACUGUCUACAUUUUAAAGUACAUACAAUAUAUAUUAUUCUAUACAUUACAUAUAUAUGUAUAUAUACACUCACAGAUCUGUGGCUUUAACUGUGAGAGCAAGAUGAUAAUGGGUUAAAGCAGUUUACUGCCCAUCUGACAGCAAACUCUGGUAACAUAUGAGCCUCACUGCUGAAACAGCUCUGGGCAGUCAAGUACAGUAAAUAAAAAUGCCAUAAAUA